CCAUAUAUGCUGACUGAGUACCUCCAUCAGGUCAGCUUCCUCUCUGCUACCAGGGACUCUGGAGUGCUUCAGACCCAGUCACCAAAGCAUGACUGUGGUCUCUGAGGACCAAUUCCACCGGACCAGGCUGCAGCUCUCUCCUUCCAGCCAGGCAUUGCCCGUCUUUUUCCUCUUCUGUUCCUCUCCCAUACAGACAUCGAUACCUUUGCGUAUAGUGUUUUCAACUACUACCUGCCUUUAUAAAGGCGCUUGUGGCUCUCAGACCUAGAUCUUUCUUAACGCAUCCUGUGAUUCAUUGAAUAAUGCAGCCAGUUAACAGGUCCAAAAACUUUGUUACUGGGAAUCCUGAACAAAGCAAAAUAGGACACACAGUUCUCAAUGGAACUAAUAUUCACUACUUUAUUUUGGACCAGGGCUAGCCUUUGGUGACUUGCCCUUAAACAUGUGGUGAAAUCCAUCUAAACAAACACACCUAACUUGAGAAACAAGCAGUAUAAUAAUGCCUCAAAUAUAUAACACAAUCACAACUUUCCAAAUUAUGAAAAAAAACACAGAUAUACAGAUGCAACUUGUCAAGUUUUUUUGCAAUUUACUAAUUUGCAUAUUGUUAGUAUACAAAUCAAUGCAUUUUCCAGUUUCACCAACAGAAGGCGAUGGAGAGUCAUCACAAGUCUGAAUAAAGCCCCUUUUAAAACAAGGGUUCAAUAUUGCAACAGUGGCAAAUGCAAACCAGCAAAUGCAAAUGCAGCAGUCCAAAUGGUUCCCUGUGUACCUGCCUCCCCAGAACAGAACCUCUUUCCCGGCUAGGGUCCAUAGUCGUGAGAAAGGAGGCUGACCUUCAGUCCUCUCCAAGUGACAAGAUACACAGUUGUUUUCUGCUUAUCUCCUUCACCAAUGAGAAAUCGUGUUCUGUGACAUCACAAAAGUCAGUCCCAGACCUCAGUGUUGUACUCUACUGACUUCUAACAACCAACAGUUGCUAAGUAGCCUUCCUUGUUUGCUUCAGGUAUGGCGUAUAUUGCCAUGUUCUCAUGUGGAUAUUGAAUAUACUGGAAUGGAUGAAAAGGUUUAGGAGGAAUCCUACAGGAUCUCCAGAAAUUGAAUAUAGAGCAAACAAACACUAUAAUGGUAUAUAUUUAACCAGAGUAUUUACACAAAAGUUGUCCAAUAAAAGUAAACCUGUUAAUCUUAAAGCAGCACGCCCACACCAACCAAUCGCUUCCUCUUCUCUUCCCCUCUCAGAAUCUGUCUUUUCUUUAUUUUCUGAUGUGGUUUGUCUUAUGUAUUUUUCCAAUGCUUGAUUUUCUUUGACAUAAGGAGGAGCAUAAGUCAGCUCCAUUUCCUGUAUCAGAGAAAGUUUUCCCGCAAUACUUACCCUCCUCUGUAUUCUUGUGUUCCCUCCUUUCUCCAUUUCCAAAUGUCCGGUCAUUUAGACUAGGGGGCCGGCGAAUUUACUGAAUUUCAUCCGAACAGAAUGUCAACAGUUUGUCCAUUUGUGUUUAGAUGAAAUUCUGUUAUUUUCGGUUCCUUCCGAUCAGUGCUGCGGCUGCAUCUAGCUCCCUUAACUGUAUCCUGUGGGAUUGCCAUAUAAUGGCAAUCCCACAAGUAUUAGGGAACCAUCAGCCAACUUUACUAAUACUAUGUAAAUAGUUAUUGGAUUAGUAAAUAAGAGCUUAAAAUAUGCCUCCUGCCCCUACUCGUUGUGCUGAGAGUACGUGUAUGUCUACUAAAGAGUGAUCAGCCAGUAGCCAUUGACCUAUUGUCCCAUCCCAGCUUCUGGGUUGGCAACACUAAAUGAUAACAUGGGGCCUUUUGUACCUCCCAACCCCCACCCAGUGGUGGCGGGUAAGGGCUAAUUGUAA
rnacentral:lncRNA from 1 species